rnacentral:rRNA from 1 species
CUAGACUCCUACGGGAGGCAGCAGUGGGGAAUAUUGCACAAUGGGGGAAACCCUGAUGCAGCAACGCCGUGUGAGUGAAGAAGCGUUUCGGCGCGUAAAGCUCUGUCAGCGGGGAAGAAAGAAGACGGUACCCGACCAAGAAGCCCCGGCUAACUACGUGCCAGCAGCCGCGGUCAUACGUAGGAUCCGAGCAUUAUCCGGAGUGACUGGGUGUAAAGAGUUGCGUAGGUGGCAUAGUAAGUAGCUAGUGAAAUCUGGUGGCUCAACCAUUCAGACUAUUAGCUAAACUGCUAAGCUCGAGACCGUUAGGGGUAACUGGAAUUUCUAGUGUAGGAGUGAAAUCCGUAGAUAUUAGAAGGAACACCAAUAGCGUAGGCAGGUUACUGGGACGGUUCUGACACUAAGGCACGAAAGCGUAGGGAGCAAACGGGAUUAGAUACCCCCGUAA